rnacentral:rRNA from 1 species
UACGUAGGGUGCAAGCGUUAAUCGGAAUUACUGGGCGUAAAGCGUGCGCAGGCGGUGAUGUAAGACAGGUGUGAAAUCCCCGGGCUCAACCCGGGAACUGCGUCCGAUACUGGCAGGCUUGAAUCCGGGAGAGGGAUGCGGAAUUCCAGGUGUAGCGGUGAAAUGCGUAGAUAUCUGGAGGAACACCGGUGGCGAAGGCGGCAUCCUGGACCGGCAUUGACGCUGAGGCGCGAAAGCCAGGGGAGCAAACGGG